rnacentral:lncRNA from 1 species
UGUGAGUACACUACAAACUUACAAAGAAAAGGUGUUGAAAAAAGGAAAGAACGUGUAAGAAGAACAAUAUGAACCAAAGAGGUAGAAAACAUGGAAGAGGACAUAGAAUUGGAGAAAGAAAUUCUCAACAUCAAUCCAAUAUUCAUAUAAUUCAAGAGGGUGAGGAAGACAAUCUCAAAAAAGAGGAAGAAAAGAAUAAUGGUUGAAGAUAUGAUAAAUCUCAAAUUGAAUGAUAUAAUGUUCACAAGCUCAGUCAUUUUGUAUGUUAGUGCAGAAGUAACAAUGUGGGGGAGCAAUCCACCUACGAUUAAAAUAAAGAUACGAAAAUGAAUUUUACUCUUGAAAAUACAAGGUAAAAGGAGGCAAUAAUUCUUGGUACUUAUACACCUAAGCAAGUAAUCAUAUGUGUGGAGAUCAAUCUAUCUUCAUGGAACUUGAAGAACUAACUCACCACGUCACAUUUGGUAAUGAUUCAAAGGUGCAAGUCAAAGGUAAAAUUCUCAUCCAAAUGAAGAAUGAAGAACAAUACAUAUUCAGUGUUUACUAUAUUCCUUUUAUGAAGACAAAUGUUUUGAAUUUUAUCCAAUUUUUAUUCAUAGAGUUCCAAUCAUAUAGAAACAGAUAAUCUUGUGAAUAUUCAAAGUUGAGAAGUAGAGUGUUUGCAGGCAUAGGUGAAAGAUUCAACAUGUCUAUUACAUUUGAGACUUGGCAAUUUAAAUUUUGACGGUCUAAAUCUUUACAAAGUGAAAUAUGGUGAAGGGGCCAUAACAUAUUUAUCAUCCAAAUCGACUUUGCGAAGAGCCUGUGAAAAGAAAUCAGAAAACUUUCCCGAAAGAAGCAAGUUUUCGAGCAUCAAGACUACUAAAUUAGUACAUAUGGAUCGCUCCAGCCUGCAUAAUUUGAUAAAAGUAAUUACUUCAUUUCAUUUAUUCAUGACUUUUCUCGUAAAAUAUUAGGUGAUUUUCUUAUAGAAAAGUCUGAUCCAAUUGAAGCUUACAAGAAUUUCAAGGCAAUGGUGAAUAAUCAAAGUAGUCACAAGAUCAAAAACUUAUGCUCAAAUCAUGGUGGUGAUUAUGUUAGCAACACAUUCAAGAAUUUUUGUUAAGAUCAUGGCAUUUUAUCAUUUUUUUUUUUUGUGUUCACCUGUCUUCUAAACAAAUGGCGUAGCAGAGAAAAGAAUAUGACAAUAAUGAAAAUGACUAGAAGCAGAGAAAAGAAUAUGACAAUAAUGAAAAUGACUUGAAGUAUGCUGAAAACUAAGAAGAUGCCAAAAAAGUUUUGACUAAAAUUGCUUAGCGUGCUGUGCAUUUGUUGAAUAGUUGUCCCACCAAAGUGUGCAAAAUGACUCAUCAAGAAGCAUGGAGUGAACUCAAGUAAAGUAUAUUACAUUCAAGUUUUCAUAAGCAUUGCUUUUUCUCAUAUUUCGAAAGAAAGAAGGACCAAAUUAGAUGACAACAGUUAGAAAUAAAUCUUAAUAGGCUAUGAUUCAAGAUCAAAAGAUUACUAGCUCUCCAACACAAUAAAUAAGAAUGUGAUCACAAGUAGAGAUGUUGAGUUCGACGUUGAAACUAAGCAAGAAGAAAACUAUAAUUUCUUCAAGAACUUGAAAGGCUUACCACUGGAUCAAAGGCAAAAGCACUUUUAGAAUUGGCUCCUUCUUUGCCAAAACGAAUAUGUCAAUUCUUAUCAAUGGUUGUCCAUCUCCCUUUUUCUCAUGCUUGAAACUACUUACUCUUCUUCAAACUCGGAUGCCCACAUAAUGGCAUUAGAACUUUUUUUUUUUCCAUCUCCAAUGAAUGGCAUUCUAGAAGCUCUCAAUCAAGCAAAGACUUCCUAUACUAUGCUAAAGCCAAAUCAAUGUGGGCAUAAAUUGGGACAUACUGUCAAUGAUCUCAGUUAACCCAAUUAGGAAACAAUUUUCUCUUUGCGGUUAAAUUGGAUACGCGGCAUAGGAUAAAGAAAAAGGAGUUGAGAACAAGGUGAUGUGAUUCCGCCUUAAUUAACACCGUCAGCUCUACCUCCAAGAUAUAUCAUCACCUUCAUUAUCCUCAAGUAAAAUACCAUAUCAUUUUAGAUAUUUUCAAUAGAAUUGUAACGAUACCGAAGAGUUAUAUCAACAUCUUAAGGAAAUAACUUUAUUUUUUCUAUUUUCCCAGCAUGCGAUUAUUAAUUUCAUUUAUGCUGUUAGAAAUAAUAAUGGAGAAAGCCAUGAAAGAAGAGAUCUAUUAAGAAGAAUGAUACUUGGGAGUUAGUCAUGCAACCUACUGGUCAAAAGCCAAUUGGAGUCAUGGACUUUUGAGGAAAAAAAACAAUGUAAAUGGUGAAAUCAAAUGCUACAAGACAAAUGUUGGUAGCUAAAUGUUACAAUCUGGAACAUGAUGUCAAUUAUGACAAAAUCAUUGCACCAGUAGCUCUUUUCGAAAUAAUAAGACUUAUAAUUUUCCUGGUAGCAUAAAAUGGAUGUUCAAUCAACAUUUUUGAAUGAAUUUCUACAAUAAAACGUAUACAUACUACAACCUCAUGGGUAGGGGCGAAUUCAGGAGUUUGAAUCAGCAAAGACGGUCGUUGACUAUUUACAAAUCGGCUGCAAUGAAAUAUUAAGUCCUUUUGAUACCCAUUCUUUCGCAAAAAAAUGCAUUUUAGAAUAGUGAUUGACGGAGAACGUGUGACUAAAAAUACCAAAAAAAAAUGAAGUUACGUAUAAUAUUAUUUUAUUGAAGAAUGUAUGGAUGGAAAGAAUUGAGAGAAAAUGUAUUUUGAAAAAAAUAGAAACCGAACAAGGCCUAAAGUUCAAAUAUAACAAUUAUUUUGUUCAAAUUGAACAUAUAAAAUUCUCUUAUAAAAAUAUACAGAACUCAUUAAAUGACAUUGCUGUCAAAUUUUGUAUAAUUCAAAGGAAGAGUGCAGAUUUGAAUCUUUAAAAUUGUUUGUAUUAAAACAGUUAAAACCUAAUCAUUAUUUUGUUAAAUUUAGUGACACAAUUCAAGAGGUACCAUAAUGAUUAAAUUUACAAUAACUCUUGCAAGAGAUCACAGGUUUGAAUCCCCAUUGUCCCUCUCCCUAUUGAAUUUUGAUUAAAAUUGUAGAGUAAAAAUAAUACACAACAAAUCCGUUAAAAAGGGAUUCAAACAUGAGACUUCAAAUAUGUUUGUGCAAGCUCUAACCAACUGAGCUAUAAGGGAUGUUUGAAAAUAGAGUCAAUUACCCUUAAUAUAAAAUUUAAUCUAUUGUUAAAAAAAGAAAAAAAAAUUCUCCCAGCAGAUUCAGCUAGGGCGGCCGACCUAGCUCGCCACCAUCUAGAUCCGCCGUUGGUCAUGGGUNAAUGAUGCUAUUAGAAAUAAUAAUGAAGAA